rnacentral:rRNA from 1 species
CUCAGUAGAGUUUGAUCCUGGCUCAGGAUUAACGCUGGCGGUAUGCCUAACACAUGCAAGUCGAACGGAAUACUAAUUAAGAGAAUCUCACACUAGUGAGAGGUUCUCACGAGUAGUAUUUAGUGGCGGACGGGUGAGUAACACGUUGGAACCUGCCCCGAAGUGGGGAAUAACUGCUCGAAAGAGUAGCUAAUACCCCAUAGUAUCCGGUUUAUCCGGAUUAAAGAUUUAUCGCUUCGGGAGGGGCCUGCGUCUGAUUAGCUAGUUGGUGAGGUAAAAGCUCACCAAGGCGACGAUCAGUAGCUGGUUCGAGAGGAUGACCAGCCACACUGGGACUGAGAUACGGCCCAGACUCCUACGGGAGGCAGCAGUGAGGAAUCUUCCACAAUGGGCGCAAGCCUGAUGGAGCAAUACCGCGUGCAGGAAGACGCUUUUCGGAGUGUAAACUGCUUUUGUCGUCGAAGAUUAUGACUGUAGACGAAGAAUAAGGACCGGCUAACUACGUG